UACGAAGGGUGCAAGCGUUACUCGGAAUUACUGGGCGUAAAGCGUGCGUAGGUGGUUUGUUAAGUCUGAUGUGAAAGCCCUGGGCUCAACCUGGGAAUUGCAUUGGAUACUGGCAGGCUAGAGUGCGGUAGAGGAUGGCGGAAUUCCCGGUGUAGCAGUGAAAUGCGUAGAGAUCGGGAGGAACAUCUGUGGCGAAGGCGGCCAUCUGGACCAGCACUGACGCUGAGACGGCGAAAAGCGUGGGGAGCAAACAGG
rnacentral:rRNA from 1 species